AAUAAAAUGCUUCGCUGGGCGCAGCUUGAUACGACCGCAGAGGUCGAACCCUGAACAGUUGGGGCAAGUAUGGACACAACAUUCAAGCUUGAUACAGCUCUGAAUUUGGAUUGUGAUUAAAAAUUUGACACAGCAUAGGUUUCUGACACAGAAAGAAUGUGGUCUAAGAACUUGAAUUUUCUUAAUUUACCUAUUAUGGUCCAAUGUCCAAAAUCAAAAUACAUAUUUAGAUUCAGCAUAUCAAAGAACCCCAUAUAUUCAAUUUUUGUUGAAAUCAAACAAAGUUUAAUUUUGGACCUCAACUUGGACAAACUUAAAAACUGGGCCCAUAAUCAAAAAUCUAAACACAUGUUUAGAUUCAGCAUAUCAAAGAACCCCAAGAAUUCAAUUUUUGUUAAAAUCAAACUAAGUUUAAUUUUGGACCCUUUGGACCUUAAUGUAGACCAAUUUAAAAAACGGGACCCAAAAUUAAAAAUCUAAAUACACGGUUAGAUUUGGAAUAUCAAAGAAACCCUAAUAAUUCAAUUUUUGAUGAAAUCAAAAAAAGUUUAAUUUUGGACCCUUUUGACCUCAAUAUGAACCAAUUUGAUAGCAGGGCCCACAAAUAAAAAAUCUAAAUACAUGGUUAGAUUCAGCAUAUCAAAGAACCCCAUAUAUUCAAUUUUCGUUGAAAUCAAAAAAAGUUUUAUUUUGGACCCCAACUUGGACCAACUUGAAAACUGAGCCCAUAAUCAAAAAUCUAAACACAUGUUUAGAUUCAGCAUAUCAAAGAACCCCAAGAAUUCAAUUUUUGUUAAAAUCAAACUAAGUUUAAUUUUGGACCCUUUGGACCUUAAUGUAGACCAAUUGAAAAAACGGGACCCAAAAUUUAAAAAAUCUAAAUACACGGUUAGAUUUGGCAUAUCAAAGAACCCCAAUAAUUCAAUUUUUGAUGAAAUCAAACAAAGUUUAAUUUUGGACCCUUUUGACCUCAAUAUGAACCAAUUUGAUAGCGGGCCCACAAAUAAAAAAUCUAAAUACAUGGUUAGAUUCAGCAUAUCAAAGAACCCCAUAUAUUCAAUUUUUGUUGAAAUCAAACAAAGUUUAAUUUUGGACCCCAAUUUGGACCAACUUGAAAACUGGGCCAAAAAUCAAAAAUCUAAAUACAUGUUUAGAUUCAGCAUAUCAAAGAACCCCAUAUAUUCAAUUUUUGUUAAAAUCAAACAAAGUUUAAUUUUGGACCCUUUGGACCUUAAUGUAGACCAAUUUGAAAACUGGACCCAAAAUUAAAAAUCUAAAUACACAGUUAGAUUCGGCAUAACAAAUAAAUAAAUGUGGUCAAAGAUUUUACAAA